AAAGUUUGCUGAUCCCUGAUCUUGCCAGAGCAGCAGGGCCUAUAGAUAAAGACUCGUAUAUUUUCCUGAAUCUAAAAUACUUCAAAGUCCCAGGUCUGCUUCCCUGAAUUGUCCCUAUCUUGGAUCAGGACCCCAGACAGUACCAGAAGGAGCAUUCUCCACAGUGAGAUAUUCACUGUGGGUGUGCAAACUCUAAGGCCAGAGAGGCAACUACUUCAGCAUCGCUGUAAGAGCAGCAGCCGCCGCCGCAUCCUGGGCCCCCCCGCUGUCGGGUUCACACCAGCAGUCCUGCACCACGAUAAGAAAGUGAGAUGAAUAAAGUGUACUGGAAACUUUCAUUUCCUGCUGCCUCACUGCUGCCUGGACCCUUCAGAUGGAUCUGUGUCCUCCUGUGUGACAGGUAUUGGGCCAAGGUGAACACCUGGCUUAGGAUUGGUCCAUCCAUUGCUUACCAGUGACCCAGGACUUGAGUGGAUGGUCUGGCCUGAAAAGAUGAGCUACCACAAUCUGAUUUUCCCUCUCUGGACAUGGAUCCAGAAUAUUCAGCAGUAAGUUACCAACUCAAGGAUCUAUAGGCCUAAUGAAGAGGCUGCCAUUUAUGGCCAUGUUUAAGAUGGUUAAGUACAAAAAAAGUGAACAAUAGAAAGGAAAAUGACAGAAAUAUUCUAAGAUGCACUGAAGUGGUGAGAGAAAUGGAGACAAGAAAAUGACCGCUCCCCAAAUUUACCUUGGAUUCUCUCCAUCCUUUGGCCUGGGUGUUUUUUCUUCAUUUCCUAUGAUACUUUACUGAGUUUAAAAUAAAUUCUUUUUCUUUCUUAA